CUUCGGAAUGAUUUUAAGUGGAUUAGUGGCGGACGGGUGAGUAACGCGUGAGUAACCUGCCUUGCACAAGGGGAUAGCCGUUGGAAACGACGAAUAAUACCCUAUGAUAUAAACUCUUCGCAUGAAGAGCUUAUCAAAGAUUUAUCGGUGUAAGAUGGACUCGCGUCUGAUUAGCUAGUUGGUGGGGUAAAAGCCUACCAAGGCAACGAUCAGUAGCCGGCUUGAGAGAGUGUACGGCCACAUUGGGACUGAGACACGGCCCAGACUCCUACGGGAGGCAGCAGUGGGGAAUUUUGCACAAUGGGGGCAACCCUGAUGCAGCGACGCCGCGUGAUUUAGAAGGCCUUCGGGUUGUAAAAAUCUUUUGUAUGGGAAGAAAAUGACAGUACCAUACGAAUAAGGACCGGCUAAUUACGUGCCAGCAGCCGCGGUAAUACGUAAGGUCCGAGCGUUGUCCGGAAUCAUUGGGCGUAAAGGGUACGUAGGCGGAUAAGCAAGUUAGAAGUGAAAUCCUAUAGCUCAACUAUAGUAAGCUUUUAAAACUGCUCAUCUUGAGGUAUGGAAGGGAAAGUGGAAUUCCUAGUGUAGCGGUGAAAUGCGCAGAUAUUAGGAGGAAUACCGGUGGCGAAGGCGACUUUCUGGCCAUAAACUGACGCUGAGGUACGAAAGCGUGGGUAGCAAACAGGAUUAGAUACCCUGGUAGUCCACGCCGUAAACGAUGAGUGUUAGGUGUCUGGAAUAAUCUGGGUCCGCAGCUACG
rnacentral:rRNA from 1 species